AGAGUUUGAUCCUGGCUCAGAGUUAACGUUGGCGGCGUGCCUAACACAUGCAAGUCGAACGCGUUCCGGGGGCAACUCCGGGAUGAGUGGCGAACGGGUGAGUAACACGUGGGUAAUCUUCCUUCAAGUGGGGAAUAAGCUCUCGAAAGGGAGUCUAAUACCGCAUGACUUUCCGGGACAUAAGUCCCGCAAUUAAAAGCCGCAAGGCGCUUGAAGAUGAGCCUGCGUCCUAUUAGCUAGUUGGUAGGGUAACGGCCUACCAAGGCUCAGAUGGGUAGCCGGCCUGAGAGGGUGAACGGCCACACUGGGACUGAGACACGGCCCAGACUCCUACGGGAGGCAGCAGUGAGGAAUUUUGCGCAAUGGGGGAAACCCUGACGCAGCGACGCCGCGUGGAGGAUGAAGGCCUUCGGGUCGUAAACUCCUGUCAGAGGUGAAGAAUACCCGCAAGGGUUUGACGGUAACCUCGGAGGAAGCCCCGGCUAACUACGUGCCAGCAGCCGCGGUAAUACGUAGGGGGCAAACGUUACUCGGAAUUACUGGGCGUAAAGGGUGCGUAGGCGGCUGGGAAAGUCAAAGAUGAAAUCCCGUGGCUUAACUGCGGAACUGUCUUUGAAACUUCCCGGCUUGAGGAUAAUCGAAGAGAACGGAAUUCCCGGUGGAGCGGUGAAAUGCGUAGAUAUCGGGAGGAACACCUGAGGCGAAAGCGGUUCUCUAGACUACUCCUGACGCUGAGGCACGAAAGCUAGGGGAGCAAACGGGAUUAGAUACCCCGGUGGUCCUAGCCAUCAACGAUGGAUACUGGAUAUUCCUGCACUCAUGUGGGAGUGUCGAAGCUAACGCGUUAAGUAUCCCGCCUGGGGAGUACGGUCGCAAGAUUGAAACUCAAAGGAAUUGACGG
rnacentral:rRNA from 1 species